AUGGGAACGCGAAGAACCUUACCUAGACUUGACAUCUCCUGAAUAGUGUAGAGAUACAUGAAGCCCUUCGGGGCAGGAAGACAGGUGGUGCAUGGUUGUCGUCAGCUCGUGUCGUGAGAUGUUGGGUUAAGUCCCGCAACGAGCGCAACCCUUAUUACUAGUUGCUACCAUUAAGUUGAGCACUCUAGUGAGACUGCCCGGGUUAACCGGGAGGAAGGCGGGGAUGACGUCAAAUCAUCAUGCCCCUUAUGUCUAGGGCAACACACGUGCUACAAUGGUGAGCACAGAUAGAUGCGAUACCGCAAGGUGGAGCCAAACUCUAAAACUCAUCCCAGUUCGGAUUGUAGGCUGCAACUCGCCUACAUGAAGUUGGAGUUGCUAGUAAUCGCGAAUCAGAAUGUCGCGGUGAAUACGUUCCCGGGUC
rnacentral:rRNA from 1 species